UUGCUUCAGCAGCAAACAUACUAAAAUUGGAAUAUACAGAGAAGAUUAGCAUGGCCCCUGUGCAAGAAUGACAUGCAAAUUCAUGAAGCAUUCAAUAUUUUU
rnacentral:snRNA from 1 species